rnacentral:rRNA from 1 species
GAUGAACGCUGGCGGCGUGCCUAAUACAUGCAAGUCGAGCCAACAGACGAGGAGCUUGCUCCUCUGACGUUAGCGGCGGACGGGUGAGUAACACGUGGAUAACCUACCUAUAGGACUGGGAUAACUUCGGGAAACCGGAGCUAAUACCGGAUAAUAUAUUGAACCGCAUGGUUCAAUAGUGAAAGACGGUUUUGCUGUCACUUAUAGAUGGAUCCGCGCCGCAUUAGCUAGUUGGUAAGGUAACGGCUUACCAAGGCAACGAUGCGUAGCCGACCUGAGAGGGGGGUGGGCCACGCAGAACCGGCAACAAGUUCCCACCCCCUCCGGGAGGAGGGCGUGGGGAAAUUCCCGAAAGGGGGAAAACCAAAAGGGGUCAACCCCGUUUGAGGGAUGAGGGUUUUGGGAUUGUAAACCUUUUUUGUUGGGGAAAAAAAAAUGUGAAAAUAACAAUGCCCGUAUUGACGGUACCUAAUCAGAAAGCCCCGGCUAACUACGU